AGAGUUUGAUCCUGGCUCAGGACGAACGCUGGCGGCGCGCUUAACACAUGCAAGUCGAGCGAGAACCGGGGCUUCGGCCCCGGGGACAGCGGCGAACGGGUGAGUAACACGUGGGUAAUCUGCCCUCGAUUCUGGGAUAGCCCGGGGAAACCCGGAUUAAUACCGGAUAGCCUCUCGAGCUUUCGAGCUUGUGAGAAAAGGUAGCUUCGGCCUCCGAUCGAGGAUGAGCCCGCGGCGGAUUAGCUUGUUGGUGAGGUAACGGCUCACCAAGGCGACGAUCCGUAGCUGGUCUGAGAGGACGAUCAGCCACACUGGGACUGAGACACGGCCCAGACUCCUACGGGAGGCAGCAGUGGGGAAUCUUGCCCAAUGGGCGAAAGCCUGAGGCAGCGACGCCGCGUGCGGGAAGAAGGCCUUCGGGUUGUAAACCGCUUUCAGGAGGGACGAAGCCACUCGGGUUAAUAGCCCAGAGGGUGACGGUACCUCCAGAAGAAGCCCCGGCUAACUACGUGCCAGCCGCGGCGGUAAUAC
rnacentral:rRNA from 1 species